UUUCCGUAGGUGAACCUGCGGAAGGAUCAUUAUUGAAUAAACUUGGUUAGGUUGUUGCUGGCUCUUAGGGGCAUGUGCACGCCGACUCCAUUUUUUAACCACCUGUGCACCUUGCGUAGAUCUGAUAAUCUCGAGGAAACUCGGUUUGAGAAUUGCUGUGCGACAAAGCCAGCUCUUCUUGCAAUCAGGUCUAUGUUUCUAUAUACCCCAUAUGAAUGUAUUGUGAAUGUCAUAAACUGGCCUUUGUGCCUUUAAAAACAAAUACAACUUUCAACAACGGAUCUCUUGGCUCUC
rnacentral:misc_RNA from 1 species